rnacentral:rRNA from 1 species
GUCCACGCCCUAAACUAUGUCAACUGGUUGUCGGGGGAUUGAUUCCCUUGGUAACGAAGCUAACGCGUGAAGUUGACCGCCUGGGGAGUACGGUCGCAAGAUUAAAACUCAAAGGAAUUGACGGGGACCCGCACAAGCGGUGGAUUAUGUGGAUUAAUUCGAUGCAACGCGAAAAACCUUACCUACCCUUGACUUGUACGGAAUCUUCCAGAGAUGGAAGAGUGCCCGAAAGGGAACCGUAACACAGGUGCUGCAUGGCUGUCGU